UACGGAAGGCAGCAGUGGGGAAUAUUGCACAAUGGGCGCAAGCCUGAUGCAGCCAUGCCGCGUGUAUGAAGAAGGCCUUCGGGUUGUAAAGUACUUUCAGUCGUGAGGAAGGUGUUAAGGUUAAUAACCUUAGCAAUUGACGUUAGCGACAGAAGAAGCACCGGCUAACUCCGUGCCAGCAGCCGCGGUAAUACGGAGGGUGCGAGCGUUAAUCGGAAUUACUGGGCGUAAAGGGCACGCAGGCGGUUAAUUAAGUUGGAUGUGAAAUCCCCCGGGCUUAAACCUGGGAAUGGCAUUCAAGACUGGUUAGCUAGAGUCUUGUAGAGGGGGUAGAAUUCCAUGUGUAGCGGUGAAAUGCGUAGAGAUGUGGAGGAAUACCGGUGGCGAAGGCGGCCCCUGGACAAAGACUGACGCUCAUGUGCGAAAGCGUGGGGAGCAAACAGGAUUAGAUACC
rnacentral:rRNA from 1 species